rnacentral:lncRNA from 1 species
AUGCAUUAUGUUUCUCAUUUUUCAAGAGCUCACCUUUGUCAGAAGCAGAGGGGGAAAAAGUACCAUUCUUUAGAAGGAGCACAAAGGAAGGCAGAAGGAGAGGAAGGUGAUGGGCUAUACAUGGAGCAAGGCUGCUGUGUAAAAAGCAAGAGGAUGCAGUGGCUCUCAGGAAGCCUCUUCUCCAUCCCCAAUCAUUGUCCCUCAGCACCAUCAGUUGUGGCAGCAGCAGAUCAAAGAGGAGGCAUUGCUUUUCUGCAAGCACCAGCACAGGGUGCCAUGAACUGGACUGAAACAUUGCGCGUCCCAGAUUGGUCCUAUUGGCUGCCAGCUAGGCUGCAAGGUAUCCCUUCACCUCUCUCCCCCUUUUCAACAACUCUAUUUCCAGUGUCUCUCUCUCUGUUUUUCCUUCCCGUUCCCAUUUCAGCCACCACUUUGCAAUACAGGCUAACUUCCUUUGCACUGUUGUUCCCAACCCUCUGCUCAACACCUACCUCUCUCUAAGCUGUUGUUGCCCUUUGUUCUUCCUCUACUUCUUAAAAGACCUUCAUCAGACCUUUUCCAUAAUGCUAACACUGCUCAUACUUAGGUAACUAAUGCCAUGCUUGUAAUCAGUUGUCUUCUUCAUUCUCCUUGACUUCUCCUUGGAUUUCAGCAUUGCAGUUACUGCCUUGAAAUACUACUUUACCUUUGUUUUCAAUGCUCAGGCCUCUGCUGUCUCAUCUCCUACCUCUGAAUAUUUAUUUAGGACUUUAUUCAGAAAACUGUGAUUAAACACAUUUCUGUUCAGUGCAACAAUGAACUAUAUGUUCAUAUGCUUAAAUAAUGUAUAGAGUAAUGAUGCCUUUCUGAACCAGAGCCCAAGCAGCUCUGGUUUGGAUGUUUCUCUUUACCAUUCUUACCUUUGGAAUCAAUACCCCACCACUCUGUACAAUACCUCUUAGUAUUUCAUCUUUUAAGAUAUCUGUCUCCACUCCUAUCCUGUUUCUUUCUGCCCUAUGCAAGUGUCAGAUUCACUCAUACAUCAUUGUGAGUUCCUAUUGUUAGUUUGAUUUUUUAAUGGCCAAAAUUGAACCAAGACUUCUUUCUUAUGAUCCCAUUUUGUCCUCUUUGUUUCUGUCUGUGAAGGGCGUUUUCAUGUUCCUAAGUCACACAAUGGGUGCAUUCUCAGUCUGAAGACAUUUCAUACUGUACUUAAUGACCUUAAGAGGUCAUAAAUAAAACAGACAAGACAAGAUUAUGUCCA